rnacentral:lncRNA from 1 species
GCAGUGAGCCGCUGUGUUCAGUGCAGGCUGUGAAUGGAGGCGCAGCACUGCAGUUCCUCUGUCUGUGGCCAGGCGGUGCUCCAGAAGCACAGGUGUCGUUUCCCGGCCUGAGCAUGAAUGCCAGUGGAUACAGCAAUUACAGUAUGACUAUAAACGACACUCAGAGCUUAAACGGAAGAGAAAUCAUCUGUAAAGCCGAACAUCCUCUGGUUCAGACACAAUGCAGUGUCAUUCCUCGCAGUCCUGUGGAUUUCCUCCCAGUAAUUUUCACCAGCAUGAGUCAAGAUGAACAGACAUUGGUUGUGAUUCAUUGCUCUGCUGAAGCAACACCUCAAGCUCUUGUGCACUGGAUCAAGGAUGGAAACCGCUUGCAAACUGGGCCCAAAUACCAGAUCAGUACAAACACAACUCAACUGUUUAUUUAUGAUUUUAAUGUCACUACAGACCUCGACACCUACACCUGCACUGCCAUCAACCCUCUCGGCAAUAAAACUGUGGACACUGCACUACUUGGCCCUCAAAUCUCAAACUCGAGUGUUUUCCUGAGCAAUGAUCGAACAGAAGUAACUCUAACGUGGGACGUUCCUCUCACCUCCGUUAUUACAGGCUUUGAUAUCCAGUUGAAGGGCCCAGAGCUCUCAAGCCCAUCUCAACCCAAGCUCGGCAUCGCAUCAGACUUCCGCACCAUCCAAUCAAAGCCGGCCUCCGCCAGAGCCACCACCGUCUCAGGACUCCACCCAGAAUGCACGUCCUACAUCAGAAUCAUCCCUAAAGCCGGCAGAACCGCAGGAGAACAGUCUGAGCAACAUCGGAUUGGACCAGCUGCUGGACUCAGUGGAGCUGCUAUCGCUGGGCUCGCCGCUGGGAUCCCCUGCGCUCUUCUCGUCCUCCUCAUUGUGCUGGCCUUCAUCUACUGCGGAAGACGGGAUCGAAUCCCCAGGUAUCCUGUAUCGAGAGCAGUGGAGAAGGCCGUCAUCUCUCAGUCUACACUGAACCCUCAUCGUCUGCUGAGAGCCCGACUGAAAGCACCGCCUGAGUACAGACAUCAGCAGCCUGAGCGAUCGGCUCAUUUGCCGUCUGUGAACUCAUGCGUGAGAAUGGCCACCACCGUCUGACUCUGAGAGCUUGAGCCUUUAACCUUAUCCAGGACAGUUGUUGACAUGUUGCAGCCCAGACGCGAACCAGUGUCACCCACAUGAGCACCACAGUUACUCCGGCACCGUUUAUUCUGUUAUUCUGUCUAAGUGUAUUUUAAAUUCACAUGUGAGC